UGUCUGUAAGCAUCUUUGUUGGUGGAUCUUGUGACGGACUGACUCUUCUGUAAUAAAUUUUGUGAAGGAAUGGCAAUAUUUUCGUUUGUAAUUUUGUGAAACAUUAUUAGCCUUGUUCUUAGCCGGCGUUCUUGUAAUGUUUGCCAUUUCAUGGUGUCUAGCAUCUCAGACACACUGCUGGUGUUGUGAUGUCUGUUACAUGCAUACCUUGCUGCUCGUC
rnacentral:lncRNA from 1 species